AACGAACGCUGGCGGCGUGUCUUAAGCAUGCAAGUCGAGCGGCAAGCGCAGCAAUGCGCCUAGAGCGGCGGACUGGUGAGUAACGCGUGGGUGAUCUACCCUUGGGUUGGGGAUAGCCAUUAGAAAUAGUGGGUAAUACCGAAUACGUUCGUCAGGUUGCGACCUGGCGAGGAAAGGCGCUUCGGCGCCGCCCGGGGAUGAGCCUGCGUCUCAUUAGCUAGUUGGUGGGGUAACGGCCUACCAAGGCGAUGAUGAGUAGCCGGCCUGAGAGGGUGUACGGCCACACUGGGACUGAGAUACGGCCCAGACUCCUACGGGAGGCAG
rnacentral:rRNA from 1 species